rnacentral:rRNA from 1 species
UACGUAGGUGGCAAGCGUUGUCCGGAAUUAUUGGGCGUAAAGAGCUCGUAGGCGGUUUGUCGCGUCGGCUGUGAAAACCCGAGGCUCAACCUCGGGCCUGCAGUCGAUACGGGCAAACUAGAGUGCGGUAGGGGAGACUGGAAUUCCUGGUGUAGCGGUGAAAUGCGCAGAUAUCAGGAGGAACACCGGCGGCGAAGGCGGGUCUCUGGGCCGUAACUGACGCUGAGGAGCGAAAGCGUGGGGAGCGAACAGG